rnacentral:tRNA from 1 species
GGAGAGAUGGCUCAGAGGUUAAGAGCACUGACUGCUAGUCCAGAGGACCUGGGUUCAAUUCCCAGCACCC